ACACACAGUCUGAUUUACAGUGUCCUGGGACAGUGUCUCCAUUCACUCACAGGGUCACCUGGACCGUGCCUUGCAGACACAUCCACAGUGUUACAGAGAUACACACGGAGUCCCAAACAGAUAGAGAAGAGAGUGUCUGCAGGACAGCAGCAGCAGACAGUGGCACAGACACAGCAGGCCUUGGACGGGCAGUGCCGGCGAGGUCACCAUGGCAUGGAAGCCCCUCAGGGACUUCAGAGGCUGGCCUUGGAUAGGGAGCGGUGUGGAAUGGAGGGGCCCAAGAUCACCCCCUCGGCCUCCCCAACACCCCCCUGGCCAUGAGCAAGGAUAGCUUGGAGAUGGCAUCACCUUGGACCUGGACUACCUGCUUGCUACUUAGAGGACUCAGCUGAGCCCCCUCCCACAGGGGACGUGCCCACCGGGGGCCUGCCCCUCUCCUGACCGAAUCCAGAAGCUGAGAUCCUGGAAUCCCCUUCUCCAACAGCCCUCAGCCCCCUUCUGUGGCCUGGAGGGGCCCUUCCCUAAGCCCAUCCAAGGUCCAUGCUCCCAGGACAAAUCUGCCACCAGUAAGAGUAGGCCUCUUG
rnacentral:lncRNA from 10 species